rnacentral:rRNA from 1 species
GUGCCAGCCGCGCGGUAAUACCGGCAGCCCAAGUGAUGGCCGAUCUUAUUGGGCCUAAAGCGUCCGUAGCUGGCCGCGCAAGUCCAUCGGAAAAUCCACCCGCCCAACGGGUGGGCGCCCGGUGGAAACUGCGUGGCUUGGGACCGGAAGGCGCGACGGGUACGUCCGGGGUAGGAGUGAAAUCCUAUAAUCCCGCACGGACCACCGAUGGCGAAAGCACUUCGAGAAAACGGAUCCGACAGUGAGGGACGAAAGCCAGGGUCUCCAACCGGAUUAGAUACCCUUGUAGUCC